CAGUAGCCACGGUAAUACAGAGGGUGCGAGCGUUAAUCGGAUUUACUGGGCGUAAAGCGUGCGUAGGCGGCUUCUUAAGUCGGAUGUGAAAUCCCUGAGCUUAACUUAGGAAUUGCAUUCGAUACUGGGAAGCUAGAGUAUGGGAGAGGAUGGUAGAAUUCCAGGUGUAGCGGUGAAAUGCGUAGAGAUCUGGAGGAAUACCGAUGGCGAAGGCAGCCAUCUGGCCUAAUACUGACGCUGAGGUACGAAAGCAUGGGGAGCAAAUGGGAUUAGAUACCCCCGUAGUCCCUGUCUCUUAUAU
rnacentral:rRNA from 1 species